rnacentral:rRNA from 1 species
UCCGGUUGAUCCCGCCGGAGGUUACUGCUAUCGAGGUUCGACUAAGCCAUGCGAGUCGAAUGUAGCAAUACAUGGCGUACUGCUCAGUAACACGUGGAUAACCUACCCUUGAGACGGGGAUAAACCCGGGAAACUGGGUAUAAUACCCGAUAGAUCUCGACUGCUGGAAUGCAUCGAGCUUUAAAGCUCCGGCGCUCAAGGAUGGAUCUGCGGCCUAUCAGGUAGUAGUGGGUGUAGCGUACCUACUAGCCUACGACGGGUACGGGUUGUGAGAGCAAGAGCCCGGAGAUGGAUUCUGAGACACGAAUCCAGGCCCUACGGGGUGCAGCAGGCGCGAAAACUUUACAAUGCUGGAAACAGCGAUAAGGGGACCUCGAGUGCCAGGUUACAAAUCUGGCUGUCGUGAUGCCUAAAAAGCAUUGCAUAGCAAGGGCCGGGCAAGACCGGUGCCAGCCGCCGCGGUAACACCGGCGGCUCGAGUGGUAACCGUUAUUAUUGAGUCUAAAGGGUCUGUAGCCGGCCGGGUAAGUCUCUUGGGAAAUCUGGCAGCUUAACUGUCAGGCUUUCAGGAGAUACUGUCUGGCUCGAGGCCGGGAGAGGUGAGAGGUACUUCAGGGGUAGGGGUGAAAUCUUGUAAUCCUUGAAGGACCACCAGUGGCGAAGGCGUCUCACCAGAACGGACCUGACGGCAAGGGACGAAAGCUAGGGGCACGAACCGGAUUAGAUACCCGGGUAGUCCUAGCCGUAAACGAUACUCGCUAGGUGUCGGCCACGGUGCGACCGUUGUCGGUGCCGUAGGGAAGCCGUGAAGCGAGCCACCUGGGAAGUACGGCCGCAAGGCUGAAACUUAAAGGAAUUGGCGGGGGAGCACACACGGGUGGAGCUGCGGUUUAUUGGAUUCA